GACGUAGGGUGCGAGCGUUGUCCGGAGUUAUUGGGCGUAAAGCGCGCGUAGGCGGCGUGGUGCGUCGCACGUGAAAGCCCGCGGCUCAACCGCGGAGGGUCGUGCGAGACGGCCGCGCUGGAGGCAGGGAGAGGCUGGUGGAAUUCCCGGAGUAGUGGUGAAAUGCGUAGAGAUCGGGAGGAACACCGGUGGCGCAGGCGGCCA
rnacentral:rRNA from 1 species